GAGUUUGAUCGUGGCUCAGGAUAAACGCUGGCGGCGUGCCUAACACAUGCAAGUCGAACGUCCUACGCAAGUAGGGAGUGGCGGACGGGUGAGGAACACGUGGGGGAUCUACCCUCAAGUUCGGAAUACCGGCGAGAAAUCACCGACAAUACCGGAUAGCCUUCGUAGGAAGGAAAGCUCGCAAGGGCGCUGGAGGAUGAACCUGCGGCUGAUUAGCUAGUUGGUAAGGUAAUGGCUUACCAAGGCUUCGAUCAGUAGCUGGUCUGAGAGGACGAUCAGCCACACUGGGAUUGAGAACGGCCCAGACUCCUACGGGGGGCAGCAGUGAGGAAUUUUCGUCAAUGGGGGAAACCCUGAACGAGCAACGCCGCGUGCAGGAUGAAGGCCUUCGGGUCGUAAACUGCUUUUCUCUGGGACGAGCAAGGACGGUACCAGAGGAAGAAGCCCCGGCUAACUACGUGACAGCCGCCGCCUGUAAU
rnacentral:rRNA from 1 species